rnacentral:misc_RNA from 1 species
AACGCACAUUGCGCUCUCUGGUAUUCCGGAGAGCAUGCUUGUUUGAGUAUCAGUAAACACCUCAAUUUCAUGAUUCUUAAUUUUGAAAUUGGACUUGAGCAGAUCCCAACGUACAUUUAACUGUGUGGAGGGUUGCUUCAAAUGCAGGUGCAGCCGAUCAUUCUUCUGGGCUAAAAGCAUUAUCUAGUUAAUCCCGUAAAACGGAUUAUUCACUUUAUUGCUGCAGCUUACCCUAUAUAAAAGGAAGACAUGGCCAUUGUGCUGACUGAUGCAGGAAUUCUCAGAGGUCUGUAAAGACUUUUGAAAACUCGAUCUCAAAUCAAGUAAGACUACCCGCUGAACUUAA